rnacentral:rRNA from 1 species
UGCAAGUCGAACGGAAAGGCCCUUCGGGGUACUCGAGUGGCGAACGGGUGAGUAACACGUGGGUGAUCUGCCCUGCACUUUGGGAUAAGCCUGGGAAACUGGGUCUAAUACCGAAUAUGACCACGCNCUUCNUGGUGUGUGGUGGAAAGCUUUUGCGGUGUGGGAUGGGCCCGCGGCCUAUCAGCUUGUUGGUGGGGUAAUGGCCUACCAAGGCGACGACGGGUAGCCGGCCUGAGAGGGUGACCGGCCACACUGGGACUGAGAUACGGCCCAGACUCCUACGGGAGGCAGCAGUGGGGAAUAUUGCACAAUGGGCGCAAGCCUGAUGCAGCGACGCCGCGUGAGGGAUGACGGCCUUCGGGUUGUAAACCUCUUUCAAUAGGGACGAAGCGCAAGUGACGGUACCUAUAGAAGAAGGACCGGCCAACUACGUGCCAGCAGCCGCGGUAAUACGUAGGGUCCGAGCGUUGUCCGGAAUUACUGGGCGUAAAGAGCUCGUAGGUGGUUUGUCGCGUUGUUCGUGAAAACUCACAGCUUAACUGUGGGCGUGCGGGCGAUACGGGCAGACUAGAGUACUGCAGGGGAGACUGGAAUUCCUGGUGUAGCGGUGGAAUGCGCAGAUAUCAGGAGGAACACCGGUGGCGAAGGCGGGUCUCUGGGCAGUAACUGACGCUGAGGAGCGAAAGCGUGGGGAGCGAACAGGAUUAGAUACCCUGGUAGUCCACGCCGUAAACGGUGGGUACUAGGUGUGGGUUUCCUUCCUUGGGAUCCGUGCCGUAGCUAACGCAUUAAGUACCCCGCCUGGGGAGUACGGCCGCAAGGCUAAAACUCAAAGGAAUUGACGGGGGCCCGCACAAGCGGCGGAGCAUGUGGAUUAAUUCGAUGCAACGCGAAGAACCUUACCUGGGUUUGACAUGCACAG